rnacentral:rRNA from 1 species
GUCCACGCCGUAAACGUUGGGCACUAGGUGUGGGGAUCUAUCGACGGUUUCCGUGCCGAAGCUAACGCAUUAAGUGCCCCGCCUGGGGAGUACGGCCGCAAGGCUAAAACUCAAAGGAAUUGACGGGGGCCCGCACAAGCGGCGGAGCAUGUGGCUUAAUUCGAUGCAACGCGAAGAACCUUACCAAGGCUUGACAUUCUGGGUAAUCCGUGGAAACACGGUGAUCCUUCGGGAUCCAGAACAGGUGGUGCAUGGCUGUCGU